rnacentral:rRNA from 1 species
AUUGAACGCUGGCGGCAUGCUUUACACAUGCAAGUCGAACGAGUGGCGAACGGGUGAGUAAUAUAUCGGAACGUACCGAGUAAUGGGGGAUAACCAAUCGAAAGAUUGGCUAAUACCGCAUAUUAUUCGAGCGGCCGAUAACGGAUUAGCUAGUUGGUGGGGUAAAGGCCUACCAAGGCGACGCACAGUAGCGGGUCUGCGGGGCCGAUCCGCCACACUGCGACUGAGACCCGGCCCAGACUCCUCCGUGAGGCAGCAGUGGGGAAUGUUGGAACAUGGGGGCAACCCUGAUCCAGCCCUGCCGCGUGUAUGAAGAAGGCCUUCGGGUUGUAAAGUACUUUUGUUAGGGAAGCGGUACCUAAAGAAUAAGCGCCGGCUAAGUACGUGCCAGCAGCCGCGGUAAUAC